GGAAUAUUGGACAAUGGGCGAAAGCCUGAUCCAGCCAUGCCGCGUGUGUGAAGAAGGUCUUCGGAUUGUAAAGCACUUUAAGUUGGGAGGAAGGGUAUUAACCUAAUACGUUAGUACUUUGACGUUACCGACAGAAUAAGCACCGGCUAACUCUGUGCCAGCAGCCGCGGUAAUACAGAGGGUGCAAGCGUUAAUCGGAAUUACUGGGCGUAAAGCGCGCGUAGGUGGUUUGUUAAGUUGAAUGUGAAAUCCCCGGGCUCAACCUGGGAACUGCAUCCAAAACUGGCAAGCUAGAGUAUGGUAGAGGGUAGUGGAAUUUCCUGUGUAGCGGUGAAAUGCGUAGAUAUAGGAAGGAACACCAGUGGCGAAGGCGACUACCUGGACUGAUACUGACACUGAGGUGCGAAAGCGUGGGGAGCAAACAGGAUUAGAUACCCCAG
rnacentral:rRNA from 1 species